rnacentral:lncRNA from 1 species
ACUGUGUGAUUUUUGUUCUUUAGUAGAAGGAUAACAUGACAUAGCAGGAAUAAUACUGCCUUUUCUUUCUGGCAUGGAUCAAGAGAAAAGAAAAUACAAGAAAACAGACAGAAGAUCCUAUCUGCGACAAUUAAGAGCACUCUAAGAGGAAAACACAUCCCACCACAGCAAGGUACUUCUAUGGAAGGGUGAGCCCUCACAGAUGGAGCAAUGGGGCGCGCACACCUGAACAAGGGAGGGGAAGGAGUUCUUAUCCCUGAUGCAUGUGACCCCUGCUGCUGUGUCCUUCCCCUAUUGGCUAAGGCUUCUGACAGCUUUGGAGAUUGUGACAUUGGAAUAAAGGAAAAACGUACAGGACUCAUGAAGCGCUGAAAUGUUCACAAAUAUCAAGCAAAAGUCAAUGAAAUUUAUUUUGAGCUAUUUACAUCAUUUAAUAAUUGAGCAAGGUAUACUCCUAUGAACAAAAUUUGGAGCAUGUUUGUCUCUCUCUGCCUGGCGUCUUCAGAAUUUGGAAACUAGUUAGUCAUGGAAAUUUAUUUUGAGCUAUUUACAGCAUUUAAUAAUUGAGCAAGGUAUACUCCUAUGAACAAAAUUUGGAGCAUGUUUGUCUCUCUCUGUCUGCCUGGCAUCUACAGAAUUUGGAAACUAGUUUCGUUCCCAGAUUUCCUAAACUUUCCAGAGAAAAUGGUCUUCUCCCUGGCUCAGCAAGAAGAUGAACUUUAAACACUGAGAAACUGGUCAUCUCCCUGGCUCAACCAGAAGAUGAACUUUAAACACUACUCUCAAUGACUUGAUGUUCCCAUCACUACUCCUGUCAUAAAGGGAGGGGACUCAGAUAUUGAGAAUUUUAUGAUAGUGUGAACUGUCUGGUAUGUCAUUUAAGUAAGCCCGUUGCUGAAAUAUUUUCCAUGUUAUUAGAAAGAGCUGAAGAGAGGGAUUGAGAUGGCUUCUUUAUUUUUUGUCUUUUGGGAAUUAAAGGAACCUGGUUCAACAAGGGCCUACACCUAAGUCUCUUGUUGUACCAGAGUACAAUUUAGGACUGCUCCUGAGGAAGGAAUUAGCUAGAAAUCUAGAGAGUAAGGGUAACAGAUUUACAUAGAAUAACAGCCUCAGUAUUUUUGGUUCCUCUCCAGUAAAGAUCACAAAGAAUAUUGCUAAAUCGCUAAAACACCUUUGCAAUAACGUAAGGGCUUACAACUAUAUACCAAUGUAGCUCAGUUACUAAACUGGAGUAAACUAAUUUCUCUUGUGUAGAAAAAUUGGUUGGCUGUGGUUUUAUAGCAGAUCUGCAAUUAUUAAUAGUUAUGCCAAUAAUCGUUUAACAGUGCAUAUGUUAAUAUAUAUGGAAAGACAAUGUGUAUAGACAGAUGUGUAAAAUUGAAAAAUAAACAUAUAACAAGAGAGAAACAUCUAUCGAACAGACAAUAUACAUACACAUCAAACACAACAGCAGUUUUAGUGACCAUAAUAUUUAUUUCUCAUUUUUACAUUGCUUACUUUAGUGACAACUGAAAAUGACAGUUGGCAAUGCAGCUAACAGUUUCAAUAAAAGUAUAAAACAAAAGACUGUGUACAAAGCACCUGUCUUUCCGCUUUUGUAAUCUUCCGUUGGAAAAAAUUUACACACCUAAGUAACCAUCUGUUUUCUUCAAGAAAAAAUCAUUCUUAUUUCUCUCUCUCAUCUUGAAAACAGCUGUCAGCCAGGAGGGCAGAGCUGAAAUUUAUUGCCACAUCACAUGAAGCAUAGAACAGACUCCACUACUCCUUGAGAUUCAAAACUUUGCCUCUCACAAAGUUACCUUUUAUUUUCCUCUUGUUUGUCACUCAUCUCCCCUAGUGUGCUCUUUUUAUUUCUUUUACUAUUAAUAAUAAAAUCUGUGGAUGACUGUAUUAUU